rnacentral:rRNA from 1 species
UUUAUGGAGAGUUUGAUCCUGGCUCAGGAUGAACGCUGGCGGCGUGCCUAAUACAUGCAAGUCGAGCGAACGGACGAGAAGCUUGCUUCUCUGAUGUUAGCGGCGGACGGGUGAGUAACACGUGGAUAACCUACCUAUAAGACUGGGAUAACUUCGGGAAACCGUAGCUAAUACCGGAUAAUAUUUUGAACCGCAUGGUUCAAAAGUGAAAG